CACAGCAUCUUAUACAUUAACCGCACUGUUGUUCUGUUGCAGAUGUGAAAAAAGUGCCCUUCUGAAACUACACUAAUCGCAGCAUGCAGUAUGCAGAGUCUGACCUGGCCAGGAAGAAGUUUCUUCAUGACUCAUUCCCAUUUCAUACCCUUUGACUGCUUGUGAAAAAUACAGCAGACACGUGUAGAGAGGUGAAGGCUCUUGCAUUUUGCAUUGGAAGAGGGAUUCAUCUUGCCAAGAGUAUACAACGUAAAUCUGCUUUCUAAAGGACUUGGCCAACUGCAGAAAAUCUACCAAACCUGAUGUCUGGCCCCAUUCAGAUCACACACUGGGGCGGACGCGGGACUGACGUGAGCGAGCAUCGCCCCGGGAGUGCGCUGGUUACCAAGCCCUCUGAGCAGCGCUGGGGGCCUUGGCUCCAUCGCGUUAGCAAUCCAGAAGGUGGGUGA
rnacentral:lncRNA from 1 species